rnacentral:rRNA from 1 species
UACGUAGGGGGCGAGCGUUAUCCGGAUUCAUUGGGCGUAAAGCGCGCGUAGGCGGCCAGGCCAGUCGGGGGUUCAAUCCCGGGGCCCAACCCCGGGCCGCCCCCGAUACUGCCUGGCUCGAGUCCCGCAGGGGACGGCGGAACUCCCGGUGUAGCGGUGGAAUGCGCAGAUAUCGGGAGGAACACCGGCGGCGAAGGCGGCCGUCUGGGCGGCGACUGACGCUGAGGCGCGAGAGCCGGGGGAGCGAACA